rnacentral:rRNA from 1 species
GACGAACGCUGGCGGCGUGCCUAAUACAUGCAAGUAGAACGCACAGUUUAUACCGUAGCUUGCUACACCAUAGACUGUGAGUUGCGAACGGGUGAGUAACGCGUAGGUAACCUGCCUGGUAGCGGGGGAUAACUAUUGGAAACGAUAGCUAAUACCGCAUAAUAUUAAUUAUUGCAUGAUAAUUAAUUGAAAGGUGCAAUUGCACCACUACCAGAUGGACCUGCGUUGUAUUAGCUAGUAGGUGAGGUAACGGCUCACCUAGGCGACGAUACAUAGCCGACCUGAGAGGGUGAGCGGCCACACUGGGACGGAGACACGGCCCAGACUCCUACGGGAGGCAGCAGUAGGGAAUCUUCGGCAAUGGACGAAAGUCUGACCGAGCAACGCCGCGUGAGUGAAGAAGGUUGUCGGAUCGUAAAGCUCUGUUGUAAGAGAAGAACGGGUGUGAGAGUGGAAAGUUCACACUGUGACGGUAUCUUACCAGAAAGGGACGGCUAACUACGUG